AUGAGCAGGGUGGAAUCUGGCCAAUUCUAUCUCAGUCUCGUGAACGCCCACCGAUAUCCAAAACCCAGGGCGACCCCUCCGUAUCCCGAACGAGUGAUCUCUCCCAGGGGAGCGAAUAACUGCAGUAUCUGUAACAGCUUUAAGAGAACUGAGCCUCACUACCAACGUUGUCAGGUAGGAAAUUUCAGGCCAGUGGAAGAUGCAACAGCCUGAUAAACCAGAAAGAUCUCCCUAAAAUGAAGGCUUGGCAUUUAGACAGAAUAUUUAAAGAUCCUUUAGGCAUUUGAAAAGAUCAUUUCUCCAGUGUAUCAAGAUCAUCUUGAAUUCUGUUGCUAUACUUCAAAUGCCUGCAACUACUACUAAGAUGGAGUGGUUCAUAAAUUUUGUAAGUAUACUCUGUGUUUCAUCCUCCAAGUUGCUAAUACUAAGAAUUAUAACAAAGCCUUGGACAGAUCAUUUUGAAAUGUUUUCCCAAUUUGAUAGCAAAUCAUUGAUAACUACCAAGUAUACUUUUUCAACUGGCUGUGCAUUACUGUGAUCUCAUCUAGACAAUAUUGCCACUGUUUGCUUAUCAGAAUGUCACGUGGGAUAGUGUCAAAAGCCUUACUACGCAUAAGAAAUAUUGUAUCAUCUGCUUCUCAUAUAUCCAGUAGGCCAGUUACCCUGCCAAAGAAGAAAAUUUGCCUAAUGUGGCACAUUCUCAGCAAAUUCAUGUUGGCUGUUCAUCUAAGUAUUCUCCUUUGGGGUGGUUAUAUAUCAAUUGUUAAAUAAUUUUUUCUUGUUUUUUUUUUCCCUUGGUUUUGAAGCUAGGGCAUUUAGCCCAUAAUUCCACAGGUUAUCCUUUAUAAAGACAGGUAUUAUGCUUGUUCUCCUUGAGUUCUCUGGAAUCUCUGCCUCCUUUUCCAGGGGGAUAAGAAGUAAGUCUUAGUAAUUCAGAGAUGGAUCAGAGGUCAUAAACUGAAGCAAAGAUGAACUAGAACUUGUCUGAAUAUUAUCUUUCCUUUCACCAAAGUGAAAUAGCUUCUCUAACUUUGGGAUGAAUCCUCAUCUGUACUGCUGAUCUCGUCACAGCACAGAUUACCAGUACACAUACUACAACUUAUAGCUGAGACAGAAGUUAUAUUUGUUUGAAACCAGUAAUGUGGAUUUCUAUCAUUAGAUUUUAUCAUAGCAAUGCAUCAACAAAUAUCUAACAUUUUGAUCUGCUGAAGAAAAUUUUAACAUAUAGAGUCCUUGGAAAACACUGUGUGGAAUGUUAAAGAAAAGCAAUAUACCAUGAAAAACAUUAAAAUAUACAGAAAAAUCUGCCCAGUGGAGAAGAAAAAGCACAAGUAUUAUUCUGCCUCCCUUUUGUACUUGUUCAUAUUGUUUUUAACUGAGAAAUUUCUUUUGUGUGAUCAGUCUUCCACUCCUACUCUAUCCCGCAGUGAACACCAAACCUGAAAACUUGUUCCAGACCAAAUGACUGAAGUCAAAACAAAACAAUACUUAAUUAUGCAUUUUUUAUAUUGCUUUGUGCUCUCAUAUUGUCUGAGUGCAAUACAAAAUUAACUCACUGUAUGCUCCCUUAUGGUAUGCAGGUGGGCAUAUGCAAUCCAUUGGGGAAAUACAGAAUUAAAACUGAAAUUGAGCUUGGGUAUAGGAUCCAGUUCUAAUUUGAAACUGGUAUUUUGGUAAAGAAGGGUAAGAGAGAAAAAAAUGACAUUACAUAGGGUAAAGUCUGUAAAUGAACGACACAAAAUAAAUCCCAAAAUUAAUUUUGGAUCAUUUUGUAGUAUUUGGUGCUAUGUAUGUGAUGAUUAAUGUUUUUACCAUAGGCAGGAAAAUUCAGUACCCACUUUUAAAAAAUGAAAUGUAGCAUUAUUUAAUUGCAAUUCAUCUGAUGGUUUUUGAACCCGAAAGCUUGCUUAAUAACUUUUCUCCAACUAUUUGGGUUGGUCUAAUAAAAGAUAUCAAAUUCACCCAAGGAACCUUGUCUGCCUAUGUCCUUAGACCAACACAGCUACAACCUAAACCCCUGAAAGGGCUAGAUACAUUUAUCCAAAAACAAAAAUAAAAACUUUAUUUUCUUGCUGUCAGAUGGAAAUAUCUCAUUUGCAAAACUACAGGGCUUCCUAGCAAAGACUGACUGUGUUGCUAUUUAAUAUUUAUUUAUUUACUUAUUUAUUUUAAGUGAGACUGGAAAGCCUCAUUGAAGACCUUCUUUGGGAGGGGAAUAAAGACCUGGAGAAGGAUGUCUUAUCUGAAAGCUUGUCUAACUCUCUCCCAACCAUGCCAUGGGUCCAAUAAAAGCUGUCACUCAAAGAA